GCGAAUCGCCCUUCGGGGUGCAGCAGGCGCGAAAACUCUACAAUGCAGGCAACUGCGAUAGGGGGACAUCGAGUGGCAUCCACCCUGGGUGCCUGUCCCACCGUCUAAAAAACGGUGGUUAGCAAGGGCCGGGCAAGACCGGUGCCAGCCGCCGCGGUAAUACCGGCGGCUCGAGUGGUGGCCGAUAUUAUUGAGUCUAAAGGGUCCGUAGCCGGCUUUGCAAGUCCCCUGGGAAAUCCAGCGGCUUAACCGUUGGGCUUUCAUGGGAUACUACAUUGCUUGGGACUGGGAGAGGUAGGAGGUACUCGGGGGGUAGGGGUGAAAUCCUGUAAUCCCCCGGGGACCACCGGUGGCGAAGGCGUCCUACCAGAACAGGUCCGACGGUGAGGGACGAAAGCUAGGGGCACGAACCGGAUUAGAUACCCGGGUAGUCCUAGCCGUAAACGAUGCCCGCUAGGUGUCACGGCGGUCGUGAAUCGCCGUGGUGCCGUAGGGAAGCCGCGAAGCGGGCCACUUGGGAAGUACGGCCGCAAGGCUGAAACUUAAAGGAAUUGGCGGGGGAGCAC
rnacentral:rRNA from 1 species